UUCGUACCGCACAGCACGGGAGGGGCAGGAGCUGUUUCUUCUUCAUGCCGCGUUAACAGGGGUGUAAGGUGGGACUUUCAUUUUUGCCGGAUUCAAAGAGACCGUGAAAAAGCUCAGGAGGGGGUGAUCCAAGGUGCAGCUGCCACUAUGCAUGGCGUCAUGACUACAACCACUGGUGCUGACAACACCACAGCCGAUGCCGGUAUCACUACUGCCCCCUCCCCCCCUCAACACCAUCAACACCAUCGCCGCCCCAUCCGAUAGUGCAUAGAUCAUACUUACAUUCUUGGAUCCUGAACUGAGUUGGAAGAAAAUCAGUCUAUGCAUAGAAGUAUUCAGUUUCCUUCUACUAUGGAAGACGACUGAAACUCGUUAUGUAUUUGAAAAAAAAAAAAACGUGCUUUUUAUGCUAGAAAGUGGUAGUAGCUAUAGGACUGACUGGAAUUAAUGAUUAUUCAAAGAUCAAAGCCAGGAACUGUUGCUCUUUGUUUGUUUGUGUGAAAUAGAAUAGAUGGUGCAUUUGCUCUCCAGGGGUAACAGCGGCAUUUAGUUUGCAAAUACGGGCAAAGGAUAGGACGGAUAAAAGCAAAAUAUAAAAAGUUGGAAGCUCGUCGCUAAACACACUAAGAAAUAUGACCAGCAGAAAUCAUCACAUUUUUGAGGGACUGAAAGAAAAA